GUCGAGGAUCCCAUGACGGGCCGGUCACUGUCUGGAAACAGAAGUAAAUGUUUUGGUUCCGCUGGGAGUAUGUUUGGAGAGCUGAUUCGUAGCUGUGGAGACUCCUUGAAAACACAAAUGGAAUGGUUGAUGAGUGUGACAGAUGUCCACGUGGGAUGAGCAUGGCAAACAAUCUGUUCCAAACUUCUCUUAUGUUGCUGGUAUACUCGUUGACGAAUGGACAAGACAUAAGGGAAAGGUGAUGGCGGCUCAGCCCUUGACGACAAUGUAACCACCUGUUCUGAGGACGUGAGGACGACGGUCC